rnacentral:rRNA from 1 species
GAUGAACGCUGGCGGCGUGCCUAAUACAUGCAAGUCGAGCGAACAGACGAGGAGCUUGCUCCUCUGACGUUAGCGGCGGACGGGUGAGUAACACGUGGAUAACCUACCUAUAAGACUGGGAUAACUUCGGGAAACCGGAGCUAAUACCGGAUAAUAUAUUGAACCGCAUGGUUCAAUAGUGAAAGACGGUUUUGCUGUCACUUAUAGAUGGAUCCGCGCCGCAUUAGCUAGUUGGUAAGGUAACGGCUUACCAAGGCAACGAUGCGUAGCCGACCUGAGAGGGUGAUCGGCCACACUAGAACUGAGACACGGUCCAGACUCCUACGGGAGGCAGCAGUAGGGAAUCUUCCGCAAUGGGCGAAAGCCUGACGGAGCAACGCCGCGUGAGUGAUGAAGGUCUUCGGAUCGUAAAACUCUGUUAUUAGGGAAGAACAAAUGUGUAAGUAACUAUGCACGUCUUGACGGUACCUAGUCAGAAAGCCACGGCUAACUACGUG